GAUGAACGCUGGCGGCGUGCCUAAUACAUGCAAGUCGAGCGAACAGACGAGGAGCUUGCUCCUCUGACGUUAGCGGCGGACGGGUGAGUAACACGUGGAUAACCUACCUAUAAGACUGGGAUAACUUCGGGAAACCGGAGCUAAUACCGGAUAAUAUAUUGAACCGCAUGGUUCAAUAGUGAAAGACGGUUUUGCUGUCACUUAUAGAUGGAUCCGCGCCGCAUUAGCUAGUUGGUAAGGUAACGGCUUACCAAGGCAACGAUGCGUAGCCGACCUGAGAGGGUGAUCGGCCCCACUGGAACUGGGCCACGGUCCAGACUCCUCCGGGAGGCAGCAGUAGGGAAUCUUCCGCAAUGGGCGAAAGCCUGACGGAGCAACGCCGCGUGAGUGAUGAAGGUCUUCGGAUCGUAAAACUCUGUUAUUAGGGAAGAACAAAUGUGUAAGUAACUAUGCACGUCUUGACGGUACCUAAUCAGAAAGCCACGGCUAACUACGUG
rnacentral:rRNA from 1 species